rnacentral:rRNA from 1 species
AUUUUCUAUCUAUAUGGCUCGGCCAAAUCUCGUGCCAGCAGUCGCGGGAAUACGAGGAAGACUAGUGUUAUUCAUCUUUAUUAGGUUUAAAGGGUACCUAGACGGCAUAUCAAGCCCCAAAAGGGAACGGAUAUACUAGAGUUUUAUGUGAGAGGAAUAUAUUAGUACUAUUGGUGUAUAGAUGAAAUUCUUUGAGACUAAUAGGACGGAUAAGAGCAAAAGCAAACCUUUAUGUAAAAACUGACGUUGAGGGACGAAGGCUUGGGUCGCGAAUAGGAUUAGAUACCCUAGUAGUCCAAGCAGAGAAUUAUGAAUGUUAUAGACUUGCGAAUGUAAGUGUAUAAAUGAAAGUGUAAGCAUUCCACCUCAAGAGUAAUGUGGCAACGCAGGAACUGAAAUCAUUA